GCAGUGAGGGUAUGGGUGCUAAGGUCCAUAUCCAAAAGGGAAAGAACCCAGAGCAUCAGCUAAGGUCCCCAAGUGUAUACUAAGUUGAGAAAAUGUGGUGUGAUUGCUUAGACAGCCAGGAUGUUGGCUUGGAAGCAGCCAUUCAUUUAAAGAGUGCGUAACAGCUCACUGGUCGAGCGAUCGCGCGCAGAUAAUGAUCGGGCAUCAAGUAUACCACCGAAGCUAUGCCUUGUACUUUGUACAGGGGUAGGGGAGCAUUCCAAUGGCGGCGAAGUUUUGUCGUAAGGCAUUGUGGAGCGAUUGGAAAAGAAAAUGUAGGCAUAAGUAACGAUAAUGAAGAUGAGAAAUCUUCACACCGCAAGACUAAGGUUUCCACAGCUAUGUUAAUCAACUGUGGGUUAGCCGGGACCUAACGCGUACCCGAAAGGGGAAGUGGAUGGAAAUUGGGUUAAUAUUCCCAAGCCAGUCAGGAAGUGACGGAGAGACGUGGCAGCUACGGGGUGACGGAAGUCCCCGUUGAGCCUAGAUGCUUGCAUCGAAGCGAAGUUGUAAAAUCUCUUCCAAGAAAAGCCCUGACAUAGCCCGUACCGUAAACCGACACAGGUAGUCGAGGAGAGUAUCCUAAGGUGCUCGAGUGAUCCGUGGUUAAGGAACUAGGCAAAUUAGCCCUGUAACUUCGGGAGAAAGGGCCCCCUCUUCGGAGGGGCGCAGUGAAAUGGCCCAGGCGACUGUUUAGCAAAAACACAGGACUAUGCUAAGUUGAAAGACGCAGUAUAUGGUCUGACACCUGCCCGGUGCUGGAAGGUUAAGUGGAGAUGUCAUCUUCGGAGAAGCAUUGAAAUGAAGCCCCAGUAAACGGCGGCCGUAACAAUAACGGUCCUAAGGUAGCGAAAUUCCUUGUCGGGUAAGUUCCGACCUGCACGAAUGGAGUAACGACUUCCCCGCUGUCUCAACCAUGAACUCGGCGAAAUUGCAUUACGAGUAAAGAUGCUCGUUACGCGCAGAAGGACGG
rnacentral:rRNA from 1 species